CCUACGGGUGGCAGCAGUGAGGAAUAUUGGUCAAUGGACUUACGCCUGAACCAGCCAAGUCGCGUGAGGGAAGACUGCCCUAUGGGUUGUAAACCUCUUUUGUCAGGGAGCAACGCCGGCUACGUGUAGCCGGACUGAGAGUACCUGAAGAAAAAGCAUCGGCUAACUCCGUGCCAGCAGCCGCGGUAAUACGGAGGAUGCGAGCGUUAUCCGGAUUUAUUGGGUUUAAAGGGUGCGUAGGCGGAAUGCCAAGUCAGGAGUGAAAGCCCGGGGCCCAACCCCGGGACUGCUCUUGGAACUGCGUGGCUAGAGUGCAGGAGGGGCAGGCGGAAUUCCUGGUGUAGCGGUGAAAUGCGUAGAUAUCAGGAGGAACACCGGUGGCGAAGGCGGCCUGCUGGACUGCAACUGACGUUGAGGCCCGAAAGCGUGGGGAGCAAACAGGAUUAGAUACCCGGGUAGUC
rnacentral:rRNA from 1 species